UGAAUCUUUUGCUGUCGAUUCCCAUCCAUUCAUUAGAGGCAGCAAGAAUGACUCCAUGGCCAAAGUUGGUCUUCCUACUAGCAGCCCUUCAAGGUGUCCAGUCACAAGCCCAGUUGGUGGAGUCUGGAGGGGCUGUGAGAAGACCUGGGGAGUCCCUCCGUCUCUCCUGCCAAGCCUCUGGAUUCGCCUUCAGCAGCUAUUGGAUGAGCUGGAUGAGACAGGCUCCAGGGAAAGGACUGGAAUGGGUUUCAGAUAUACAUCCAAGUUCAGAUACCAUUCACUACUCAGACAAAGUGAAGGGACGCUUCACCACCUCCAGGGACAAUGCCAGAAGCCAGCUGUAUUUGCAAAUGAACAAUUUGAAAGCUGAAGACACGGCUGUCUAUUACUGUGCUGGAGACACAGUGAGAGGAAGUGAAUCUGAAGCUAAACAAAAACCUUCAGGGCAACUCUUCAACUUGAUUCAGCCCCAGAUCCUGGAUUGGCUAAUUAGGAUUCACCACCAUAUAGUGAGAUUUUUAGGAUUCUUUUGUCCUGGGUAUCCCGUAAGAUAGUAUGCUGGAAGGCCAUGAAGAUUGAGGAAAAGAGCUUCAAAAUUCCAGA